rnacentral:lncRNA from 10 species
AGGGAGACAGUGGCAGGGAAACUGGCGGCUUUGUAGCAAGAGGAAGUGAGACUUGAGUCCUCUCACCACAGGUUGCCCUGCACCAACCACCACAGGACUCUGUAGAGAGUCCUGGCUAGCAAGAGGAUCUUCACCAGAUGUGGCCUCUUGACCUGAGACUUCUCAGCCUCCAUAACUGUUAAGUUUCCUGGAGAAUUCUGAAGGAUAUGCCCCCUUCCUCUCCUACAGCUCAGAGUUGUUCUGUGCACUUGGAUCAGCCUCCACAACUUCCCCCCGGGACAGGGCACCCAUCACCAUCUCCUACCUGGACAGCAGCAAACACUGCCCCCGUGACUUCCUGGUGCCAUCCUUGGCUCCAUUACGUCCAUUCUCCAGUGGCUGGCAGAGUGAGCUUGAAGAACGUGUGACAUGCCCUUCAGAAUGUUCUACUUCCUGUUCCAGAAGGACAGCCCCUCAUGCCUUCCCGCGGGCCACACGCCACCUCUUCCUCAGUGCCCCAGCCUGGCAUCCUCUUCCUGCAUUCAGCCUUCUUUUCCGAG